GCAGUCGUGACCGAGUGGUUAAGGCGAUGAACUACAAAUCCAUUCGGGUCUCCCUGCACAGGUUCGAAUCCUGCCAACUGCG
rfam:Ixodes scapularis strain Wikel colony gcontig_1107728615478, whole genome shotgun sequence.